AGUUCAAUAAAUUUAAAGCUUCCUGAUUAAACUCAAAAUUUUUGAAAUUUAAAGGGCUAUAUUUUGUAAUAACCAUGGUUCGUUUAAGUCGUAGACUCAAGAAAAAAGACCAAACUAACCGUCGCAAGGCUACUGUUAAAUUUAAGAUUGAGAAUUGCUCUCACAAGCAAAUGUGUCUUACAAGUACCAUGUCCACUGAAGCAUCCAGCUGCAAUUCUGAGUGCUUUGAGGAGAAACCUCCAAACCCUGAAUUCCUACAGAAACGCAAGAACAUGGAAAAGGGGAGCUACACCCGAGCUAUGGAGGAGCUCAAGAAGCUGAUGAACGAUAAUAAUGAGCAGUUGGAAAACGAUCAAUAAAUGAACGCUAAAGUAUUUGAUUAAACUGUUAUUAAGGAGGUGAGGACCUGAUUCUUAACAAAAUUUUUAAAAAACUUAAGUGCCGUGUCGUUCACCUUUUCAACAUCACAAUGCUUAUUUAUUUUUUGUUAAAGCAGUUAAUAACGCUUUGUAACAUGACAGGAUUCCAUGGAGCAAGAUUCCAGGUCCUAAUACCGAUUGAUAUUUUGAGUAACUUCGCAACUAGUGGAAUCCAUGGCGACACAAUUUUCAAAUCUUCAAAUAUUUAAGUCAAACAUAAAUGUAUAUUUCUACACAACCUAAAGAUCAGCAAUUUAUAUAUUUUUUUAAAUAAAAAU